rnacentral:rRNA from 1 species
ACAUGCCUAUAACAUAACGUUAAUGCACCAGAUCCCAUUAUAAAUCCAUACUUAAGCACAUUUAGGAUAAAUUAGUACUAGGAUGGGUGACCACCCAAAAAGUCCUAGUGUUUUACAUGGC